CGAGCGGUAACAGAAAGAAAGCUUGCUUUCUUUGCUGACGAGCGGCGGACGGGUGAGUAAUGCCUGGGAAUAUGCCUUAGUGUGGGGGAUAACUAUUGGAAACGAUAGCUAAUACCGCAUAACGUCCUUGUUCAUUACGAGCGGGACCAAAGAGGGGGACCUUCGGGCCUCUCGCGCUAAGAUUAGCCCAGGUGGGAUUAGCUAGUUGGUGAGGUAAAGGCUCACCAAGGCAACGAUCCCUAGCUGGUCUGAGAGGAUGAUCAGCCACACUGGAACUGAGACACGGUCCAGACUCCUACGGGAGGCAGCAGUGGGGAAUAUUGCACAAUGGGGGAAACCCUGAUGCAGCCAUGCCGCGUGUAUGAAGAAGGCCUUCGGGUUGUAAAGUACUUUCAGUCGUGAGGAAGGCAUUGUAGUUAAUAGCUGCAGUGCUUGACGUUAGCGACAGAAGAAGCACCGGCUAACUCCGUG
rnacentral:rRNA from 1 species